rnacentral:rRNA from 1 species
CCUACGGGUGGCAGCAGUGAGGAAUAUUGGUCAAUGGGAGAGAUCCUGAACCAGCCAAGCCGCGUGAAGGAAGACGGCUCUAUGAGUUGUAAACUGCUUUUGUACGGGAAUAAACGCAGAUACGCGUAUCUGUCUGAAAGUAUCAUACGAAUAAGGAUCGGCUAACUCCGUGCCAGCAGCCGCGGUAAUACGGAGGAUUCAAGCGUUAUCCGGAUUUAUUGGGUUUAAAGGGUGCGUAGGCGGUCGGAUAAGUUAGCGGUGAAAUCCCGAGGCUCAACUUCGGAAUUGCCUCUGAUACUGGCAGGCUAGAGAGUAGUUGUGGUAGGCGGAAUGUAUGGUGUAGCGGUGAAAUGCUUAGAGAUCAUACAGAACACCGAUUGCGAAGGCAGCUUACCAAGCUACUUCUGACGUUGAGGCACGAAAGCGUGGGGAGCAAACAGGAUUAGAUACCCGAGUAGUC